rnacentral:rRNA from 1 species
UACGUAGGCAGCAAGCGUUGUUCGGAGUUACUGGGCGUAAAGAGUGCGUAGGCGGUCCUGUAAGUUUGGUGUGAAAUCUCCCGGCUCAACUGGGAGGGUGCGCCGAAGACUGCAGGGCUUGAGUAUGGGAGAGGUAAGCGGAAUUCCUGGUGUAGCGGUGAAAUGCGCAGAUAUCAGGAGGAACACCGGUGGCGAAGGCGGGUCUCUGGGCAACAACUGACGCUGAGGAGCGAAAGCGUGGGGAGCGAACAGG